GAUGAACGCUGGCGGCGUGCCUAAUACAUGCAAGUCGAGCGAAGCGGGGACGGGUGAGUAACACGUGGAUAACCUCCUAUACGACUGGGAUAACUUCGGGAAACCGUAGCUAAACCGGAUAUUUGUAGAUGGAUCCGCGUUGCAUUAGCUGGUGGGGAAGGUAACGGCUUACCAAGGCAACGAUGCAUAGCCGACCUGAGAGGGUGAUCGGCCACACUGGAACUGAGACACGGCCCAGACUCCUACGGGAGGCAGCAGUAGGGAAGCUGCCGCAAUGGGCGAAAGCCUGACGGAGCAACGCCGCGUGAGUGAAGAAGGUCUUCGGAUCGUAAAACUCUGUUAUUAGGGAAGCGUUACCUAAUCAGAAAGCCACGGCUAACUACGUGCCAGCAGCCGCGGUAAUUC
rnacentral:rRNA from 1 species